CCGAGUUGGAUGUGUUUCAGACAUCCUCUGUGAAGCCAAGCGCCAAUUGAAAUCUACACGAAAAAAAACGCGCAACAAGUUUUCUCCUUCAUCACUCCUCUCGAGCAGGGUUGCCUUGUGGUUGGGGUUUAAUUCGUACAUCUGUAGUUACAAUCAACUGGUUGGUGGAAAUUUCAGUUCCCCCGUCGGAGUGCGAAACCCGCAUAAUUGACUAGUAACUCUUAUUAGUGUAACGACGUGUCGGUUCCAUACCUUCAAAAUGCCAGUGAAUGCACUCUACUAAAUCAACAGAAUAGUGUUAAAAAGCUCUGUUUGCUCUAGACAUAAAACAAAUCAAAUUAAAUUAAACAAGAGGCCAACUAAGGUGUCGAUGGAAUCGUUGUAUAUGGUGUAAAGAAAAUUAAAUGCUAUAAGGUAAACGGCGCACAAAACAAUAACAAAGUGAAAUUUCCGGCGCCAUACAUUGAUGUCUCCGGAGACGAGAGUCGUGGAUUUUUGCGAUUAAUUUGAUUUUUAUUGCGGAAUGCGAGUGCACAGCAUGAUUGAUGGACGAGAUGAAGAAAAACAGGAUAUUGCUUGCACAUUGCUGUAAUCGAUGAACAGUGUUGAGCUGUACGAGCGCUCGACAUAUUCCAGCAGCGAGCGCCACAUGGAAUAAAAAGAGAUUAGUGCCACUAAUGGCCUACCAGGAGCUAAUUAUUCCACUCAUCCAGCUGGACAAUUUUGCACACUUCAUCGGGUCCAUAACCACGAGACAGUUUGGUCAGCCCCAUCAUAACGCUGUCCUGCAAUGGAAGGCGAGGUUAGCGUUCUACUCGUGAUAACAGUGAUAAUCGGUACGGUGCUGAUGACAUCGUUGCUCGCGUGCUACAUUUGUGUGUUUAGACAGUUGUGCUGUUCUAGCGAAUUAAACCUAGACCGCAACUAUAGCCAACGAAGUUCGAAAAGGACAUACACUCUCCGUGACAGCACGAACAUGGGAGAAAUCACCAACAUCACCAGCCAGCAGACGGAAAUUGAAAAGGUCUAGCCUAGGCCGAGCGAGGUUAUUACUUCGCUCUGAAAACCUGCCCAGAGAGAAAAUUAAAUCACAUUAAAUGCAACGGUAAUGACCGUUUUUGUGUAACUCUAAAAUGGAUUAGAUUUGUAGUAAUCAAAGCAUAGCAUUUAUGGGGGAGGUCCCUCAGCGCCGGGCACCUUCCAAUACUUUGCACUUUGAGAAGUUCUACGAACAUCUUAUGAAGUACAAAAGAAAACUAUUUUGAAAUCUAACCUUGAUUCACCAGCGCAUCAUAAAAUUAUCAUGUUUUUAAUUUUACAAUUGAAUUACAUUGACCAUUUUAAAAUAUAUCAAACCUCUACAAGAAGUGUAGAGAUGAUAAAUGAAUUUUAAUAAAAAUAUGUCCAAAUUCUCAAAUAUGAUUCAUAUGAAUCAUAAUCGAUAAUAUUGUGUGUCUAUGGAGUGCCAGUCAACAUAACCCGGAUAGUUUGAGAAUUUUACGGUAAAUUGCUUAGGUGUCACGCACUGGGUGAUCCCACGUUACAUAUUAGUGUUGAAUUUAUUACAUACUAGCGGUAUGUACCCGGCCUUGCUCGGGAUUAAUGAGUAGAAUUUACAAUUCAAAUACGAAAUGUUGAAACCGAUUGCAGCGCCCCACUCUUUAUUAAUUUUGUAUAAGAAUAUGUAUAUACAACUGGAUUGUAUCUCGAUGCGUUCUAUAACUUGUUUUGCUUCACAGAGUGACUGUACCUACUUUGGCUACAAAUUCAAAUAAAAUGCCAAAUUUUCUACAAUGUUCUUGGUGCCAAAAGGGAUUUUUACCAUAUUAAAACUGAUCGCUUUUUACAUAAAAAUAUGUUAUUCUUUUGGGUGCACAAGUUAGGAAUUAAUAUGACCAAAAUUUUUACACACUACAAUAAUUUUAAAAUUAUACCUCUCAAAGUCGUUAUACUCUUACUCAACGGUCCUUUUAUAUCGAGUGAAGGAGAGUUCACUUCACAUUGAUGAAUAAAUAGAUAUACGAUAUUCAGGAGCAGGUACCAUAACGUGUCUAUAAGACUUUCGCUAGUCAAACACGGGUCGUAAAAUAACAUAAUCCAAAGUGGAAGCAAAAUUGAACUUUCGAUUGAAAAGUAGUUAGCGAGCAUACACAAAAAAGAUUUAAAAAAAUGAUAUAUAGAUAGAUUAAAUAUAAGAAAGCCCUUGAAACAACGCUACUGAGAGGAUGUAACUAAUUUUUAUAUCAACGCUUAAUAACUCUAAACCAACUGACAUGGGUGAAUAUAAUUGCUCUCUUUAUUAUAGUUCUGUAAACAAGUGUAAUAGGAAUAAAGAAAAAUUAAGUGUAUCUAUUGAAAUGUGUAAAGAAAAUGUAAGUUGAAACAAAAGAGUAAAA